AGCGAACGCUGGCGGCAGGCUUAACACAUGCAAGUCGAGCGGGCGUAGCAAUACGUCAGCGGCAGACGGGUGAGUAACGCGUGGGAACGUACCUUUUGGUUCGGAACAACCCAGGGAAACUUGGGCUAAUACCGGAUAAGCCCUUACGGGGAAAGAUUUAUAGCCGAAAGAUCGGCCCGCGUCUGAUUAGCUAGUUGGUGAGGUAAUGGCUCACCAAGGCGACGAUCAGUAGCUGGUCUGAGAGGAUGAUCAGCCACAUUGGGACUGAUACACGGCCCAAACUCCUACGGGAGGCAGCAGUGGGGAAUAUUGGACAAUGGGCGCAAGCCUGAUCCAGCCAUGCCGCGUGAGUGAUGAAGGCCCUAGGGUUGUAAAGCUCUUUUGUGCGGGAAGAUAAUGACGGUACCGCAAGAAUAAGCCCCGGCUAACUUCGUGCCAGCCGCCGCGGUAAAAC
rnacentral:rRNA from 1 species